UGCAUUUCCUUCUCGGACGCAGUCAGUACCAAACGGGACGCCAUGGUCGUGCUAGCAGACGCUGAUAUCAUACUCUGUGCAGUGACGAUUUGCUUCCUUGGCGCCGCUGUCGCGGAGUACCAACAGCCAUGCAAUAGUCCCAUCUACUGUUAUGGAGAUCUACUCAAGACCGUGCAGCUAUCCGACAUAUAUAAUGAUUCCAAGACGUUCGUGGACAAGAAGCAAAGACAACCCCCGACGGAAACUCUGCAGCUGUUUGAAGACUUCAUGGCACAGACAGGCGGUAAUCCCGACAGAGAUCAGGUGAUAGAGUUCGUGGAAAGGACGUUCGUUGAAGGCAACGAGCUUCAGCCUUGGGUCCCUGGUGACUGGGUAGAGAACCCAGCAAUACUGCAGAAAAUCGCAGACCCUGAUCUUCGGGAAUGGGCGAGAGAUCUAAAUGUUUUAUGGAAGAACCUCAGUCGCAAAAUGUCUGACGACGUCCAUGAGCACCCUGACGAGUACUCCAUCAUCUACGUACCCAACGGCUUUGUAAUUCCAGGUGGAAGGUUUAGGGAGUUCUACUACUGGGACACAUAUUGGAUCAUACAAGGCCUGCUGCUCUCUGAAAUGUAUCACACAACACGAGGCAUCUUGGAGAACUUCUUGUCCAUGGUUGAAAAAUACGGGUUUGUGCCUAACGGAGGACGGGUGUAUUAUGUUCAGCGUUCUCAACCACCACUCCUCAUACCCAUGGUGCAUAGUUACGUGACUCAAACCAGUAACAUCACCUUCCUUAGGAACAAUAUUAACCUGCUGGAGGCAGAGUUCCAGUUCUGGAUGACUAACCGAACUGUGACUGUUAACAAACAAGGCAAAGAAUACAGACUCGCUCGGUACUAUGCUGCGACACAAGGACCACGUCCAGAGUCAUAUAGUGAAGACUACCAUAAUGCAGAAUUUUUUCCAACUGAGAAGGAAAAGGAAGACUUCUACAUCAAUAUAAAGUCGGCAGCUGAGUCUGGCUGGGAUUUCUCUAGUCGAUGGUUCAUUGCCAAUGGUACAAAUGCUGGAGAUCUACUUAACAUACAGACAGAAAACAUCAUCCCAGUGGAUCUGAAUUCUUUUCUGUUCUGGGAUGCAGUGCUCCUUGCAAAAUUUUACGAAAAGCUGGGUAAUCUCGAAAAAUCUCAGCAUUAUCACAAUGUGGCCGAGCAGUGGAAGGCUGCUGUGACUGCUGUGCAUUGGAAUGAAAAGGUUGGAACCUGGCUUGACUAUGACAUUCUCAACAACAAAUCCAGAGAAUACUUCUACCCGUCCAACUUGGCACCACUGUGGACACAGUGUUACGAUGAAGCAUUUUCAGAAUACUAUGCUCACAAAACAGUACAAUACAUUAGUGAUGAAACAAUUCGCAGUUAUUUAGGAGGAAUACCAACAUCACUGGAGCUGACAGAUGAGCAAUGGGACUUACCUAAUGCAUGGCCACCCCUACAGAUCAUUGUUAUCCAGGGUCUUUUAUAUACAAAAGAUCCAGGUGCCAAUAAUUUGGCUUAUGAACUGGCACGAAACUGGAUAUAUGCAAAUCACAAGGGUUAUCUUGAUGCAAAGGAGAUGUUUGAAAAGUAUGAUGCUGAGUAUCCUGGAAAAUAUGGAGGUGGAGGGGAGUAUACAGUACAAUCAGGAUUUGGUUGGACAAAUGGUGUUAUUAUGGAAUUACUGAAUACCUAUGGAUUAAACCUGACUUCAGCCAAGAAUCGUCGUACACACUACCUCAAGAGGGGAUGGCUGACACCAUACUACAGAUGAAGACGAUUACUGCCAGCUGUAGUAACAUUGUAAUGUAUUCAUAUGCACUAAAAUAAAUAUCACCAUAAAUAUCAAACGCCGGUCACGGUAGCCGAGCGGU